rnacentral:lncRNA from 1 species
AGAAGAAGCUAAUAUGGUAUGAAAUGCACCCAUCUCGGUUUUUGACCUAUAGUAUUAAAUGCACCCAUCUCAGUUUUUGACAUAUGGCACCAGGAUUACAAAGCUUAACAAGUCAUGAUUUAGAUUCAGAAGUUACAAAGAGUGGAAAAGGUCAUAUUCUUUCUUAUGAGGAGACAAGAACUCAGGUUGCUGCAGAUCCAUAUGGAGGAUAUGCCUCUGGUUACAUAUUUUGGUGCCAUAAACACAAAGAGGUGUUGGUGCCAUGAACUGAGAAAAGGAACAUGGGAGGAAGUACGUCUUUGGAAGUAGAGGCGAGAAUGAGUUCCAGAAAUCAAAUUGUCCAAACUAUCUCCCUGGACACACCAGGUGAGCAUGUCCUACUCCGGUGGAUUUUUUUUUUUCAUCUCUGAGCUUGACCUGAGAUUGACCAUCUGACCUGAGCUAUAAUUUUGACAUAAAUUUUGACUAAAAGGUCAUUAUGUGCCAGCAAAGGACAUUAGAUAAUUGAAGGAAGACAUCCCUAUAUGACAGUGUAUUUACUUGGGUACUGAUGGGAAAA